UACGUAGGGGGCAAGCGUUGUCCGGAAUCAUUGGGCGUAAAGAGCGUGUAGGCGGCCAGAAAAGUCCGCUGUGAAAACUCGAGGCUCAACUUCGAGCUGUCGGUGGAAACUUUCUGGCUAGAGUCCGGAAGAGGAGAAUGGAAUUCCUGGUGUAGCGGUGAAAUGCGCAGAUAUCAGGAAGAACACCGGUGGCGAAGGCGGCGACCUGGUCCGUGACUGACGCUGAGGCGCGAAAGCGUGGGGAGCAAACAGG
rnacentral:rRNA from 1 species